AUCAGGGUUCGAUUCCGGAGAGGGAGCCUGAGAAAUGGCUACCACAUCCAAGGACGGCAGCAGGCGCGCAAAUUACCCAAUCCAGACACUGGGAGGUGGUGACGAGAAAUACCAGGUCGUUCCCAAAAGGAUUCGACACUGGAAUGAGUGCAAUUUAAAAAUUUCAACGAGUAACAACUGGAGGGCAAGUCUGGUGCCAGCAGCCGCGGUAAUUCCAGCUCCAGUAGUGUAUUCAAACGUUGCUGCGGUUAAAACGCUCGUAGUUGGACUAGAGAGUAACUUGAUGCGGGCGGGGAGUGUAAUUACUCUAUGAAUUCACUUGUUGAGUGAGCUGCUGGCAGUUUUGCGAAAGUAAAGCUGUCAAUGGGGAGCUCUUCAGGAUGAUGCGUAGUUGUGUAUCACUUGUCGACCAUGCUGCCAGGUUACUUGUAAUGUUUCGUGAGAAUGGUACAUGGUCUUUAUUGUACUGUGUGCUUUGUCUUACGUAGUGUGCCUUGAAUAAAUCAGAGUGCUCAAUGCAAGCAAUUGCUUGAAUGUUAAUAGCAUGGAACGAAUGUAUAGUGAAAGUGUGACAGUGAAGAUGACUCGUUGUCUUUGCUGUUACACAGCACCAACCGCGAAGCGGAGCAUUGGUUGCCGACUUCGGGUGAGGAUUAAGAGGGGCAUUUGGGGGCAUUAGUAUUUGGUCGCGAGAGGUGAAAUUCUUGGACCGGCCAAGGACUAACAAGUGCGAAAGCAUUUGCCAAGUAUGUUCCCUUUAAUCAAGAACGAAAGUGAGAGGUUCGAAGACGAUCAGAUACCGUCCUAGUUCUCACCGUAAACAAUGCCAACCCGGGAUCAGUUCGGAUGAUUUUGUUGGAUCCAGGUUGGUCCCCCUGGGAAACCUUGAGUUUUUAGGUUCCGGGGGGAGUAUGGUUGCAAGGCUGAAACUUAAAGGAAUUGACGGAAGGGCACCACCAGGGGUGGAGCCUGCGGCUUAAUUUGACUCAACACGGGAAAACUCACCUGGUCCGGACAUCGAUAGGAUUGACAGACUAAUAGAUCUUUCAUGAUACGGUGGGUGGUGGUGCAUGGCCGUUCUUAGUUCGUGGAGCGAUCUGUCAGGUUUAUUCCGGUAACGAACGAGACCACGUUCUUCAUUUGGGGAACCAGAGGACAGCUAUCGGGGGUUGUAGUGUUUUGAGCUUGUAGUGAGCAAUCACUGCAAGUUUGACUGCUAUACUUUUGUUAGUUGCACCUAUGGUGUGCGUGCAGCAAUGUGCGU
rnacentral:rRNA from 1 species